rnacentral:rRNA from 1 species
AUUGAACGCUGGCGGCAGGCCUAACACAUGCAAGUCGAGCGGAUCGCCGGACGGGUGAGUAUUGCUUAGGAAUCUGCCUGGUAGUGGGGGAUAACGUCCGCAACCGGGCGCUAAUACCGCAUACUAUUAGAUUAGCCUAGGUCGGAUUAGCUAGUUGGUGGGGUAAAGGCUUACAAAGGCGACGAUCCGUAACUGGUCUGAGAGGAUGAUCAGUCACACUGGAACUGAGACACGGUCCAGACUCCUACGGGAGGCAGCAGUGGGGAAUAUUGGACAAUGGGCGAAAGCCUGAUGCAGCCAUGCCGCGUGUGUGAAGAAGGUCUUCGGAUUGUAAAGCACUUUAAGUUGGGAGGCGUUACCAACAGAAUAAGCACCGGCUAACUUCGUGCCAGCAGCCGCGGUAAUAC